AUAUUCCUGUACCACCUAUAAUCGUUUUAAUCGAUGGGGGGACGCAGUAGGAUAGGCGAAGCGUGCGAUUGGAUUGCACGUCUAAGCAGUAAGGCUGAGUAUUAGGCAAAUCCGGUACUCGUUAAGGCUGAGCUGUGAUGGGGAGAAGACAUUGUGUCUUCGAGUCGUUGAUUUCACACUGCCGAGAAAAGCCUCUAGAUAGAAAAUAGGUGCCCGUACCGCAAACCGACACAGGUAGUCAAGAUGAGAAUUCUAAGGUGAGCGAGCGAACUCUCGUUAAGG
rnacentral:rRNA from 1 species